UACGGGAGGCAGCAGUGGGGAAUAUUGCACAAUGGGCGCAAGCCUGAUGCAGCCAUGCCGCGUGUAUGAAGAAGGCCUUCGGGUUGUAAAGUACUUUCAGUCGUGAGGAAGGUGUUAAGGUUAAUAACCUUAGCAUUGACGUUAGCGACAGAAGAAGCACCGGCUAACUCCGUGCCAGCAGCCGCGGUAAUACGGAGGGUGCGAGCGUUAAUCGGAAUUACUGGGCGUAAAGGGCACGCAGGCGGUUAAUUAAGUUGGAUGUGAAAUCCCCGGGCUUAACCUGGGAAUGGCAUUCAAGACUGGUUAGCUAGAGUCUUGUAGAGGGGGUAGAAUUCCAUGUGUAGCGGUGAAAUGCGUAGAGAUGUGGAGGAAUACCGGUGGCGAAGGCGGCCCCUGGACAAAGACUGACGCUCAUGUGCGAAAGCGUGGGGAGCAAAC
rnacentral:rRNA from 1 species